GCCAACUUUCCACAGAAUUGCUAUUCAAUAGCUUUCGCCUUUUCAUCUUGGCACUCGCACUUUUUGUGGAACCAUUGGCUUUCUUGUUGUUUCUCUGUCCCUGCAAAACUUACUCAUUUGUUGAUGUCUCGAAGAAGUAAGAAAUUAUGUAUCUUAUCCUGUCAUGGUUAUGUUGUUCUGAGUUAUCCUUUAAACUGUGAGGCAUCAGCUGCUGCAUGACAUCUUGUCCUCGGUUGGUAAUGAGAUAAAUAAAUUGUUAACAGAUAUUAAUUGUUCUUGGAAUGGGGGGAGUUGACAAGAUUACAGUAUUGAAAUUUAUGAGACAAUUCAGAAUUUAUCGCCUUAUAUCCGUUUGGAAGCAUAUGAUCGAAUCCCCCGUAUCCUAAAAUGGAAAACAAUUGUAUAACCUUCAUGGGAUGACAUGUCGAUACUUUGGGACGCUUCUCCGGUAUGUUGCUCAUUUAUAUUUUCUUAUUCCGUUUUGUAUUUCAAUAAUCGUUAUAAAUUUCAUUCAUGUUGUAGGAGGAGAUUACAACUACAUUGCAUCCGACCGAGCGGAAGUGUUAUUCUGAGUGGUAUAUUCGAGCUUUAGAGUUUAUGGGAGAACGUGUACCAUCUAUGCAUUCAGAUGAUGAUGAUGCCACCCAGUCAAACCGUCCUGUUGCCUUUCAGACAGCCCCCAGAGGGUCUUCUAUGUCUUCAACUGCUUCCGUACGAAUGUCGUCAUCAUGAGGUGCCAGACCCGUGGUUCCUAGAACUUCUCCAAUUGGACGUACAUCCCCUCCACAGGUGUCAUUCUCUCUCGGGUCACGUCGGGUCACACCUAAUGUGUCUCCCAUUCUCGUGAGCAUCCGGUAAACUAGCCUACAAGACACUCGGUCCAUGGGACAUCAUACAGUGGUGUUUCUUAUGACCGUCUUCAACAAAUAUUAAUGGAACAUGGAAGAGGCAUAAGCUCUCAGAUGCAACAACAAUUGGACCAACACGGUGCAAUGAUACACGAGGAGUGGGAGCGACAGUCGUCAGCGUUUCGCGAGGAUAUGCAGUCAUAUUGGCAACAACAACAGUCGACGUUUCGGGGGGAGAUGCAGGACCAAUGGCAACAACAACAAUCGACGUUUCGGGGGGAGUUGCAAGACUUAUGGCAAUAACAAACAUCGAUGUUUCGGGGGGAGUUACAAGAGUAAUGGCAACAACAAAUAUUGAUGUUUCGAGGGGAGCUACAGGACCUAUGGCAACAACAAGCAUCGAUGUUUCGGGGGGAGAUGUAGGACCAAUGGAAACAACAAACAUCGAUGCUUCAUGAGGAGAUGCAGGACCAAUGGAAACAACAAACACAUGGGCUUCAAGGGGAGAUGCAGGAAAAAAUGGAAUCAUUAAAUUAUCGAAUUACAGGACUUGAGGGUUCUUAUGUUCAGGCAUCCGAAUCAGUACAGUUAGACGAACCAUCAGACGAAGAAGUCCAACAACAAGUUCAGGACCAACCAAUAGCUACUCAGAAGCUGACAACAAUUAAAAAAGUAUCAGCUUUCGGACGUGUACUGCGAAAAGGGAAACAGUUGGUCAGUCCAUUCACAAAUCUAGAAAAGGAGAAAAAGAACAAACAGCCAGUAACUGCGUCUCGUGAUACAUACUCGACAUUGGCUAGGUCCUAAUCAGAGUUCACAGUAUGGUAUAGUCAAGCGUCUGAUAAUGAUAGUCGACGCGUCUUCCUCGGGGGACUAGUCGGAACGACCGCCCAUAUGCCCAAACCAUAGUGGACCCAGAUUGUAACACUAGGAUAAUGGUUGAAAAACACGGUAUGUACCCUUCCUUUGUAUUUGUUCCUAUUAGUAAUCAUGUUUAACUUAUGAUGUGAUUAAUCUGUGAACACAGCAUAUUGAAGCUUUUAUAGGUAUACUCCGUAAAUCUUACCUAGAUGAAAACUGGACAACUGUUUCCACCCAAUUUGUUGGACUUCUCCCACAGUGUUACAAUGAGUUUAAAAAAUUGGGUGCAAAUAUAGAGUGGCCUACGUUUUUUCUAGAUCAAAUCAAUGGAAUCUCGCUUCGGACAAAAGAAUUCUU